rnacentral:rRNA from 1 species
GAAUAUUGCACAAUGGAGGAAACUCUGAUGCAGCGACGCCGCGUGAGUGAUGAAGGCCCUCGGGUUGUAAAGCUCUGUUCUUAGGGAAUAAAAAAAUGAAGGUACCUAAGGAGAAAGGACCGGCUAACUUCGUGCCAGCAGCCGCGGUAAGACGAGGGGUCCAAGCGUUGUUCGGAAUCAUUGGGCGUAAAGCGGGUGUAGGCGGCCUUGCAAGUCAGAAGUGAAAGCCCUGGGCUCAACCCAGGAAGUGCUUUUGAAACUGCAGGGCUUGAGUGUGGGAGAGGAUAGUGGAAUUCCAGGUGUAGUGGUGAAAUACGUAGAGAUCUGGAGGAACACCGGUGGCGAAGGCGGCUAUCUGGCCCAACACUGACGCUCAGACCCGAAAGCGUGGGGAUCAAACAG